UUUAUGCCAUUCAACAGUUGA
rnacentral:piRNA from 1 species